CGUUUUUGUUGACUUUCGGUUUUUCGGUUUUGUUUUUGUUUCGUUUUUGGUUUGGGGGUUUUUCUUGAGAAGGGAGUUGUAGGGGGACAAAAGGAGGACCCGCGCGCGCCAGGGGCGGUCGGUAAGGGAGGUCAGGGCCGCCGGCGGGAGUCGGAGGCCGCGUCCAGGAUGGAUGUGGCCGACCCGCAGCCGCUGGGCAUGUUUACGGAGGGGGAGCUGAUGUCCGUGGGCAUGGACACGUUCAUUCACCGCAUCGACUCCACGGAGGUCAUCUACCAGCCGCGGCGCAAGCGGGCCAAGCUCAUCGGCAAGUACUUGAUGGGAGACCUCCUGGGAGAGGGGUCGUACGGCAAGGUGAAGGAGGUGCUGGACUCGGAGACGCUGUGCCGGAGGGCCGUCAAGAUCCUCAAGAAGAAGAAGUUGCGGAGGAUCCCCAACGGCGAGGCCAACGUCAAGAAGGAAAUCCAACUUCUGAGGAGAUUACGGCACAAAAACGUCAUCCAGCUGGUGGACGUGCUAUACAACGAAGAGAAGCAAAAAAUGUAUAUGGUGAUGGAGUACUGCGUGUGCGGCAUGCAGGAGAUGCUGGACAGCGUGCCCGAGAAGCGCUUCCCCGUGUGCCAGGCCCACGGGUACUUCUGCCAGCUGGUGGACGGCCUGGAGUACCUGCACAGCCAGGGCAUCGUGCACAAGGACAUCAAGCCAGGCAACCUGCUGCUCACCACCAGCGGCACGCUCAAGAUCUCCGACCUGGGUGUGGCCGAGGCCCUGCACCCGUUUGCUGAGGACGACACGUGCAGGACGAGCCAGGGCUCCCCGGCGUUCCAGCCCCCGGAGAUUGCCAACGGCCUGGACACCUUCUCUGGGUUUAAGGUGGACAUCUGGUCAGCUGGAGUCACUCUCUAUAACAUCACGACAGGCCUGUACCCGUUUGAGGGCGACAACAUCUACAAGCUGUUCGAGAACAUCGGAAAGGGAGACUACACGAUCCCGGGUGACUGCGGGCCCCCGCUCUCGGACUUGCUGCGAGGGAUGCUGGAGUACGAGCCCGCCCGGAGGUUCUCUAUUCAGCAGAUCAGGCAGCACAGCUGGUUCCGGAAGAAGCACGCGCCGGCCGAGGAGCCGGUGCCCAUCCCGCCGAGCGCGGACGGCAAGGACCGCUGGCGCGGCAUGACAGUGGUGCCCUACCUGGAGGACCUGCACGGCUGUGCCGACGACAAUGGGGACGAGGGCCUGUUCGAUGUCGAGGAUGACAUCAUCUACACUCAGGACUUCACGGUGCCCGGUGGCGAGGAGGCGUCUGAGGCAGGGCUUAGAGAGGAGCGAGGCGCGCAGAAGAGCCAGUGCUCAGACCUUUCUGGAGAGGAAGCUGAGGCCAGGGGCGCAGCAGGGCUCGAGGCCAUAGUGUAGCGAUGCCCCCCGCAGUGCCCGCCGGUGCCGGAGAGGCCAGGCCUGGGUGCCUGGCCACCGACCCUCCCUGACCCUGCCCAGGUGUCUGAGGGCGGCCAGGGCAGGUGCCCCUCCCCCAGUGUUCACCAUUGCGUUCUGGGGCCGGGCUCGCAGGCUCCCGUCAUAAAGGUCCGCCCCGCUGUGCCUGUGCCUGUGCCUUUCCCUGGCGCGUUUGCCAAACGUUAGAUUUUUGUUGUAGACAAACCUGGUGUGCGGGGGUGGCCUGUGUGGUGGGUGGGGCCCCUGGGGACGCCCCACUAGGCAGUAAUGCUGGGGGCCCAGAGCUGUUUUCCUGGCAGAGCUGGGGCGGGGUUCAGGCAUCCCACCUGAGCAGGGGGCGUGCUUGGGGGUCUGAGAUGCCCGUUCUGGAGCUGGACCCCAAGUGGCAGUGGCUUUGGCUCAGCAGGAACUCACAGUAGAGUCCCAGGAGGUGAUGCGUGCUUGGUGUCUGUGGCCUUGGAGAGGUCCUCUGUAGAACGGUAAAGAGCCAUCCUGCUUCUCAGAGGUGCGGGGCUCUCGUGUCAGGGCCUUGGGAGGGGACCUCGCUGGCGGCCAUCUGUUGUCUCUGCAACGUGGGGCGAGCACUCUUCCACAUGCCCAGACCCCUGUCAGACCCCUGACUAUGUGCGUGGGAGGCAGGGCUCGUGCCGCAGUGGCUCUCCGGCUGGAGUCCGACGCCCGACCGUCCGUCCGUGCUAGAAGGAGCAGAGCCUCUCCCAGGACCGCUGACGCUUUCUCGGAGCCCUCGUGGGUCCACAGUGGCUGUGCUGAGGCCUCGUCCCCUCCUCACUGCCGUCCCUGUGCUGUGGUCGCCCUCAGAGGCUUUUAGCUGUUUGGCCUUGUCUCCCAGGACUGUCCCCACUGUGGGGGUCUGCCUCCUGCCCUGAAAGCCGGGUGCCGGGCCUUGGGCCAGAGGACAGGUCCCAGAGGAGGAGUCUGGGCAGAACGGGCAGAGCCGGGGCCUACCCAAAGUGCUGUGCGCCAACGGCACCGAGCCG